GCCUGGGUGGCUUAAUCGGUUAAGCGUCUGAUUCCAGCUCAGGUCAUGAUCUCACAGUUCAUGAGUUCGAGCCCCAUGUCAGGCU
rnacentral:tRNA from 1 species